rnacentral:rRNA from 1 species
CCCUUAGAUGUCCUGGGCCGCACGCGCGUUACACUGAUGCAUUCAACGAGCUUAUAACCUUGGCCGAGAGGCCUGGGCAAUCUUGUUAACGUGCAUCGUGAUAGGGAUAGAUUAUUGAAAUUAUUAAUCUUGAACGAGGAAUUCCUAGUAAACGCAGAUCAUCAAUCUGCAUUGAUUACGUCCCUGCCCUUUGUACACACCGCCCGUCGCACCUACCGAUUGAAUGCUCAGGUGAGCCAUUCGGACCUUCAUCAUGCCGGUUUCCGGUUUUGAUGAGGGAAAGUCUUGCGAACCUUAUCAUUUAGAGGAAGGAGAAGUCGUAACA